rnacentral:rRNA from 1 species
UACGGAGGAUCCAAGCGUUAUCCGGAAUUACUGGGCGUAAAGCGCGCGUAGGCGGCUUUGCAAGUUAGAGGUGAAAGCCCGAAGCUCAACUUCGGAAUUGCCUUUAAAACUGCAGAGCUAGAAUUGUGGAGAGGUGAGUGGAAUUCCGAGUGUAGAGGUGAAAUUCGUAGAUAUUCGGAAGAACACCAGUGGCGAAGGCGACUCACUGGACACAUAUUGACGCUGAGGUGCGAAAGCGUGGGGAGCAAACAGG